rnacentral:rRNA from 1 species
UAGGGAAUCUUCGGCAAUGGACGAAAGUCUGACCGAGCAACGCCGCGUGAGUGAAGAAGGUUUUCGGAUCGUAAAACUCUGUUGUUAGAGAAGAACAAGGACGUUAGUAACUGAACGUCCCCUGACGGUAUCUAACCAGAAAGCCACGGCUAACUACGUGCCAGCAGCCGCGGUAAUACGUAGGUGGCAAGCGUUGUCCGGAUUUAUUGGGCGUAAAGCGAGCGCAGGCGGUUUCUUAAGUCUGAUGUGAAAGCCCCCGGCUCAACCGGGGAGGGUGAUUGGAAACUGGGAGACUUGAGUGCAGAAGAGGAGAGUGGAAUUCCAUGUGGAGCGGUGAAAUGCGUAGAUAUAUGGAGGAACACCAGUGGCGAAGGCGGCUCUCUGGUCUGUAACUGACGCUGAGGCUCGAAAGCGUGGGGAGCAAACAGG